rnacentral:rRNA from 1 species
GAUGAACGCUGGCGGCGUGCUUAACACAUGCAAGUCGAACGGAAAGGCUCCUGCUUGCAGGGGUGCUCGAGUGGCGAACGGGUGAGUAACACGUGGGUGAUCUGCCCUGCACUUCGGGAUAAGCCUGGGAAACUGGGUCUAAUACCGGAUAGGACCACAUUUUGGAUGGUGUGGUGGAAAGUUUUUCGGUGUGGGAUGAGCUCGCGGCCUAUCAGCUUGUUGGUGGGGUAAUGGCCUACCAAGGCGUCGACGGGUAGCCGGCCUGAGAGGGUGUACGGCCACAUUGGGACUGAGAUACGGCCCAGACUCCUACGGGAGGCAGCAGUGGGGAAUAUUGCACAAUGGGCGCAAGCCUGAUGCAGCGACGCCGCGUGGGGGAUGACGGCCUUCGGGUUGUAAACUCCUUUCGCUAGGGACGAAGCGCAAGUGACGGUACCUGGAGAAGAAGCACCGGCUAACUACGUG